rnacentral:rRNA from 1 species
CCUACGGGAGGCAGCAGUGAGGAAUAUUGGUCAAUGGCCGAGAGGCUGAACCAGCCAAGUCGCGUGAGGGAAGACGGCCCUACGGGUUGUAAACUGCUUUUAUACGGGAAUAACGCGCCUUACGUGUAGGGCUUUGCAUGUACCGUAUGAAUAAGGACCGGCUAAUUCCGUGCCAGCAGCCGCGGUAAUACGGAAGGUCCGGGCGUUAUCCGGAUUUAUUGGGUUUAAAGGGAGCGUAGGCGGCAUGUCAAGCGUGCUGUGAAAUGUCCGGGCUCAACCCGGGCCUUGCAGCGCGAACUGGCGUGCUUGAGUCCGCGGAAAGCAGGCGGAAUUCGUCGUGUAGCGGUGAAAUGCUUAGAUAUGACGAAGAACCCCGAUUGCGAAGGCAGCUUGCUGCAGCGGAACUGACGCUGAUGCUCGAAAGCGCGGGUAUCGAACAGGAUUAGAUACCCCAGUAGUC